rnacentral:rRNA from 1 species
CCUACGGGCGGCAGCAGUGAGGAAUAUUGGUCAAUGGCCGUAAGGCUGAACCAGCCAUGUCGCGUGCAGGAAGAAGGAUCUAUGGUUUGUAAACUUCUUUUAUACGGGAGUAAAGGUAUCUACGAGUGGAUAUUUGAAUGUACCGUAUGAAUAAGCAUCGGCUAACUCCGUGCCAGCAGCCGCGGUAAUACGGAGGAUGCGAGCGUUAUCCGGAUUCAUUGGGUUUAAAGGGUGCGUAGGUUGUUUUUUAAGUCAGCGGUGAAAGUUUGUGGCUCAACCAUAAAAUUGCCGUUGAUACUGGAAGACUUGAGUGUGUUUGAGGUAGGCGGAAUGCGUGGUGUAGCGGUGAAAUGCAUAGAUAUCACGCAGAACUCCGAUUGCGAAGGCAGCUUACUAGGCCAUAACUGACACUGAAGCACGAAAGCGUGGGGAUCAAACAGGAUUAGAUACCCUGGUAGUC